rnacentral:RNase_P_RNA from 1 species
CGAGCGGGCUGCGCGGCCGCGGCGCGUGAAAACGCGAUGAGGAAAGUCCGGGCAUCACAGGGCAGGACGCCUGAUAACGUCAGGUGAAGGCGACUUCAAUGAAAGUGCAACAGAAAUAGACCGCAGUGCCUUUUGGCGCUGUAAGGAUUGAAAGGCGAGGUAAGAGCUCACCGACGGGACGGUAACGCCCCGUGCCAUGUAAACCCCGUCCGAUGCAAGUUUGGGCUCUGUUCAUAUGGGCUGCCCGUCCGAGCAGAGCCGUGAAUAACGCUUGAGCCCGUCGGUGACGGCGGGCGUAGAUAAAUGACCGCGCUCGACAGAACCCGGCUUACAGGCCCGCCUCGGAUC